rnacentral:rRNA from 1 species
CCUACGGGAGGCAUCAGUGAGGAAUAUUGGUCAAUGGACGAGAGUCUGAACCAGCCAAGUAGCGUGAAGGAUGACUGCCCUAUGGGUUGUAAACUUCUUUUAUAAAGGAAUAAAACGAGGCACGUGUGCCUUUUUGCAUGUACUUUAUGAAUAAGGAUCGGCUAACUCCGUGCCAGCAGCCGCGGUAAUACGGAGGAUCCGAGCGUUAUCCGGGUUUAUUGGGUUUAAAGGGAGCGUAGAUGGGUUGUUAAGUCAGUUGUGAAAGUUUGCGGCUCAACCGUAAAAUUGCAAUUGAUACUGGCAGUCGUGAGUACAGUUGAGGUAGGCGGAAUUCGUGGUGUAGCGGUGAAAUGCUUAGAUAUCACGAAGAACCCCGAUUGCGAAGGCAGCUUACUAAACUGUGACUGACAUUGAUGCUCGAAAGUGUGGGUAUCAAACAGGAUUAGAUACCCUAGUAGUC